AAAAAGAAAAGGGGAGGGAAAUUUUUCAGAUUUUCCUUCAUCAAGCCUAGGAGAAGACACCUAAUUUUCUAUUCCAACACAAACCUUAGAAUUUCUACGUGGGAAGACAAACUUGGGCAGGAGAUUUGCAAGAAGAAAAGUGACAUAAUUUCUAAGAGAAGAAGGGGUGGGAGGCCGGCUGCUUGUAGAGAAGAAAGGGGUUAUGAAACUUUAAUCAAAUCAGAAAUCAAACCUAAAUUUUCCUCCAGGUAUGAAGUUCUAAACCAAUUGGGAAAGAUAAAUUAAAUUCAUGCAAGAAUUGUGCAUUAAUUUGAAGUUUGAAAGAUUAGGGUCCUUGAGUAAAAUUUGGGGAAAUGUGGAAUUGAUUGGAAUUAAAUGAGUUGAGCAGCAUAGGUUGCCUAAAAAGGAUGGAAUUAUGCAAAGAAGUUUUCAACAAAAUCAAAGAUUAUGGGGGAAAUAGUGGCCGGCCAUGGGAUUGUAAGAAAAGAAAAGAAAUUUUGAUAAUUUGCGUUGUUUCUCUUAUUGCAAAAAUUAAAAUAGGUUCCAGAGGUGAAUAAUAAGGAAAUGUGGUGAUUGAGUGUGUGUGUGUGUAAAACAAAAAAAAAAAAAAAAAAGAGAGAAGGAAUUGAUUUAAGGACCGGUGGUCACUGGAGGGGAAGGAAAAACAAAACAGGGGAGGUGAACGUAUGACUCCCCUGUUAAUUAAUUAAGUGUGCUGAUGUUGUAGUUACAAAUUGUAACUUAUAGGGGAGAGGAACCUACGUUCCAGGUAAGGAAAACACGGCUGAAAUUGAUGGGAAGUAGGAUUGGAGAUAAAAAAAUUGUAGGCACCUUCUUUAUUGACAAAACAGGGCAGGUUCAUUUCCCUAGUUCUUGAGGGAAUCUGGACCUGAAGAUGAUAGAAUUUAGGGAGGGUCCAUUCAUAGAAGAUGUAGCUGGGAGUGUUAGCGUUCCAACGAGUCCGACCCCGCCUAAUUUGGAGUCCUAGAACUCCGGAUACAAAUGAAAAUCUGAGGAGAGGUCAAGCUGCCACCCCGGUUGGCAGUUUCGGCCAAGUCCAUAAAACGGUGAAAUUUAGCCGUAUUAAGGGUAAAAUUUGUUUUCUUUCCCUUCAUAAAGUGUGUCUUGAUCUUUAAAAAAAAAAAAGAAGAAGAAGAAGAAGAAGAAUAAAACUGUAAUCAAAAUUGAAUUUAUGAUGUCCAGACAAAUGGGUCGAAAAUGUAAAAGGAUAAUGAUGAGGAAUGAAAGUGAGAAAGAAAAGAUUGAUAAAAGAGAAAUGAAUAUUAUUGCCAUUUUUGCUGUUGUGUUGUGAUAUGUGGACUAAUAUGGAAUAAUGAUGGGUGUUUAUGGUUUCAGGAGGAACCGCGGGAGGAGUGCAACAACAGGGAAGCGCAAGUCGAGCGUCUACAGCAGGUAGGUACUCGAUACCUAUAUCUCCUCUUGUUAAUAAUUGUUGUAGCUAAUUAUUGAACUAUAUAUAUAUAUAUAUAUAAAGAAGAAGAAGACUUGGUUCAUAUUGAUGAGGAAAAGAAAAAUGGGGAAAUGAAAGGUUAAAGACGGGAAAAUAGAAAUGGAGGACUAAAUUUAAAUUAUGGUUCCCUUUGGAGGAAAUGAACUGUGACUACGAAUUUCGAUAAUGAUUGUUUCUCGAAAUUGAUUAGCCUGUCCCUGAUAUGGGAGGCUAAUGAUGUUAGCCAAGCUGGUUAACAUCGGCAUUACCGGUACGUGGGGGGAGAAUUAUGAAACUUGAUUAACUAUUCGGGUUCAGAAUAGUUAAUGAUAUCGGCGGGUGACGUCGAUAUCGGCAAAAUUUAUAAACUUGAUUAGCUUUCCGAGGUGAAAGCUAAUGAUGUCAAGAAUCCUUGACAUCGGCAUACCCGAUGACCUCCGUAGGUAGCAAAGAACAGUGAUUAAUUAUUUUGGUUCAAAAAAAAAAAUAUAUAUAUUAAGUGACAUCAAUAGUCAUGUUAGUGUCGGCAUUUUCAUGAGUUUGAUUAGUUGACCUCAGGAUGGACAACUAAAGACACUAAUGGAGGUCGUUAGUGUCGGUAUAGUCUUCCUAAGGUGGGGAGAAGUAGUUAUAGGAAAUAAACUGGAUAAUCCUCAAAAGGGAUGGUGGUGGUGUAUUGAAAUUGCAUAUGACUUAAGUAGGUAGAUGUGCUAUAUAAUUUUUCUUCCAUGAAUUGUUUAUAUUUUAGUUAUUUUUAAUUUUAUGGAAAAUUUGUGUUUUGCAGGUCCCUCCCAUUCACGUCAGGAGUAGAAUUUAGGUUACUUAUCCCUUUUGUACAAGUUAGGAACUUAAGGAUCUUUCAUGUAAUUUUGUUAUGCAGCAAACAUGUAACCUGAAUAGAAUAGUAUGCUCCUUAUAUUAUUUUUGCUUUUGGAAUAUUAAUGUAUUAAUCUAUACUUGGAGAAAAAAAUUUAUAGCGUAAUAGCUUAUGUUCAAAACGCUAAACUGUGUUGUGAUUAUAUAUUAAAUUUUAGUGCUUGGAUGGUCCUCUUAA
rnacentral:lncRNA from 1 species